rnacentral:lncRNA from 1 species
CGGCUGAGAUCAGGUGCGGUCGAGCUCUCAAGGGGCGACGUGAUCGUCUUUGGCUGGGAACUUUCGACACCGCCGAAGAAGCCGCUCUCGCUUAUGAUAACGCCGCGGUUCAGAUGAUUGGUCCUCACGCGCCUACCAAUUUCAGUUUCCCGGCGGAGAAUCAUGAGGUCAAGAUGGUGGACAUUAUGAUAACACCGCGGUUCAGCUGAUUGGUCCUCACGCGCCUACCAAUUUCAGUUUCCCGGCGGAGAAUCAAGAGGUCAAGAUGGUGGCCGGAGCAUCCGCUGUUGCUCGUGGCGCGUGA